UUAAUUAGAUAAUCCAUAUUAUUAAUUUAUUAUUUAUAAUUAAUUAUUAAUAAUAAUUAUUAUUUAUAAUUAAUUAUUAAUAAUUAAUUUCUUAUUUAUUUUUAAGUAAUAUUUUUAUUACUAUUAAUUACAUAAUAUAAUUUUAAUUUCAAAUUAUAACUCUUAUUCCUCUUGUUCCAAUCUAACCAUCCAAACACUAUUUGUCUUAUUCCUAGGAACAACCUAAUUUUCAUCCAAACGCAAAAUUGGUCUAGUUCCUGCUUAUACCUGAACUUGUACCUAUCCCUAGAACUAGCAGUUCUUACUUAUACCCGAACCAAACGCAGCCGUAAGUUUCUAAAGUCAUGGCCUUCAUAUAAAUCUAUUCCUCUAACUUGUAUACCAAUUUUUAUUUGGUUUGCAAAGUCUAAAGCAGGCAUUAAAUAGUCUGGACUAACGUAAAAUAUU
rnacentral:lncRNA from 1 species